rnacentral:tRNA from 1 species
GGGCGCAUAGCUCAGUUGGCUAGAGCGCUUCUCUGAUAAGGAAGAGGUCCAUGGUUCGAAUCCAUGUGCGCCCACUA